rnacentral:rRNA from 1 species
UACGAAGGGUGCAAGCGUUACUCGGAAUUACUGGGCGUAAAGCGUGCGUAGGUGGUCGUUUAAGUCUGUCGUGAAAGCCCUGGGCUCAACCUGGGAAUUGCGAUGGAUACUGGGCGACUAGAGUGUGGUAGAGGAUAGUGGAAUUUCCGGUGUAGCAGUGAAAUGCGUAGAGAUCGGAAGGAACAUCUGUGGCGAAGGCGACUAUCUGGGCCAACACUGACACUGGGGCACGAAAGCGUGGGGAGCAAACAGGAUUAGAUACCCUUGUAGU